rnacentral:rRNA from 1 species
AGAGUUUGAUCCUGGCUCAGGAUGAACUUUGGCGGCGUGCUUAACACAUGCAAGUCGAACGAAGCACCUUAUUCUGAUUUCUUCGGAAUGAAAAAUUCGGUGACUGAGUGGCGGACGGGUGAGUAACGCGUGGGUAACCUGCCUCAUACAGGGGGAUAACAGUUAGAAAUGACUGCUAAUACCGCAUAAGACCACAGCACCGCAUGGUGCAGGGGUAAAAACUCCGGUGGUAUGAGAUGGACCCGCGUCUGAUUAGGUAGUUGGUGGGGUAACGGCCUACCAAGCCGACGAUCGGUAGCCGACCUGAGAGGGUGACCGGCCACAUUGGGACUGAGACACGGCCCAAACUCCUACGGGAGGCAGCAGUGGGGAAUAUUGCACAAUGGGGGAAACCCUGAUGCAGCGACGCCGCGUGAGCGAUGAAGUAUUUCGGUAUGUAAAGCUCUAUCAGCAGGGAAGAAAAUGACGGUACCUGACUAAGAAGCACCGGCUAAAUACGUGCCAGCAGCCGCGGUAAUACGUAUGGUGCAAGCGUUAUCCGGAUUUACUGGGUGUAAAGGGAGCGUAGACGGAGUGGCAAGUCUGAUGUGAAAACCCGGGGCUCAACCCCGGGACUGCAUUGGAAACUGUCAAUCUGGAGUACCGGAGAGGUAAGCGGAAUUCCUAGUGUAGCGGUGAAAUGCGUAGAUAUUAGGAGGAACACCAGUGGCGAAGGCGGCUUACUGGACGGUAACUGACGUUGAGGCUCGAAAGCGUGGGGAGCAAACAGGAUUAGAUACCCUGGUAGUCCACGCCGUAAAC